AAAUGGUGAACUCCUUGAUCUCAAUUUUUCAGCUCUGUUAGCCGUCCAAUCGAGCAUCAUACAAAAUUCAAUUUGCACCUUCUCGUCCAUUUACGUUCUCUGUUUGAAUGUCAUACACGUUUCGAUAUUGCUUGAGAAUGCUAUCUUCGAACUACUCAGAAAGCAUUUCAGCCGUUUGGAUUGUUACAUUGAUUUGUUCGAAUUGUUUUUUUAAUGUACAUAUUUUCAAUUGUAUUUGCGGCCAGUAAACGGAUGUGAUUGUUAGUACAAGACAUGUGAACUCUUUCGAUAUGGGCACAUUCUAUUCGAUUACGAGGAAUAAAACUGCUAGCAACUUUUUUUAUUUGCCAGUAGCAGCUGGCCUGCUUUUGGCGGGCGUCAAAGACCAGAAGAUUUUUGAAGAAUGCCAUAAAAUUACAUUUGAGUUAGGAUACUACACUCAAGUGCAAAAUGAUCUUCUUGCUUCAUUUGGAAAUCCGGAUUUCACUGGUAAAUUCGGCACAGAUAUAGAAUCUAACAAGUGUUCUUGGCUGGCGGUGAAGUGUAUGAAAUUAGCCGAUUCAGAACAAAAGGUUAUUAUGGAGAAGUGUUACGGUCAACAAAGUAAGUUAUGCUAAGAUCCGGAGACAAUUGAUCCUGUUCGAAAGCUCUACGAGGAGAUAGGACUGCACAUCUUAUAUGCCCAGUUCGAAGUAAAAAUAUGCAAUAAAAAUCCAAAUGCAAAUAAAUCAAACACCGGUUCAGAUGUUACGUGAAGUCUUUAUAGAAUGUCUUAAUUAUGUUUCCAAUAGAGGAAUUAAGUAAUUAAAAUCAAAUUACACAUUAAACAAAUAUUUAAUAUAUGUACAUAAUAAUGUCUACCGCCGUUGUGUAAUACUACAACAUGUAUAUACAUAUUUCCGGAAUGGAUAUCGAACGCUGGUCCUACAAAUAGACACUUACAUUAUUGGCGUUGAUUCACAUGCAUAUAUGCUUAAAAGAAUUAAGAAUAUGCGAUAAUCGUUUUAAGUAGACUGAAGAGAUAAAAUUACAAAAACGGAAAAUAUUUGAAAGUGUUGGACAUACACAAGUUACAUAUCUACCUCCCGUUAUGGCCAACAAAAAAAUGUAUGUAUUAAUCAAACCGUGUCGUGGGUUAUGAAAAUCAUUGGAGUAAUUGUACAUCCAAAUUUAUUCACACCCGCAAAUCUACACAAAACAAGCCUGUAUUAACGGGGAUCUCUUGAUGAACAUCUAAUCCUAAAAAUAUUUAAUUACCAAAUUGAAAUAAUGCAAUGUAAUAUAUUUUUGUAGUUCGGCUUUCUGAAAGUUUCAUAAGUACGAACCUCUCACUUAGAAUAGAAUAAAUCGAGGGAUGCAAUGUGA